GUAGCAAGAGAAGCGAGGGGUCCGGAACCGUCCGGCGUCGUCCGCGCAGCCUCCCUCUUUCCUCCCCGGCUGUCAGCCUGGGCCCCGCCCUCUCAGCCUUCCAAUAGGCUCUCGGCCCCGCCCCGCCCGUUCCUGCUUCCGCCAUCGCUGCGCCGCGUCCGCUUUGCCCUGCAAUUUUCCCAGUGCCGGUUUCUAGUGCUCGCUGUCCAACUUCAGGGUAUUUUUGCUCUCGCUCAGAGUUCAGACGUCCGCCCCGGCCAUUUAGUCCCGUGGUCACAAGGAGCAGUUGCUGUGUUAGGACCCAGUGGAUGAUGAAACUCACCAGAGACCACAUAGCUAGAGAAUGGCCAGACUCAGUUUUGAAUCUAAGCAAUCUUGACUCCAGAGCCCUCCAGCUUAAAGGAUGGCCGUCUGAGAGUGACUUCUGAUGGCCUCGCCGGCAACCACACAAGGUCUCUUACAGCUAAGACUCUGGAACUCACACAGCGUUGCUUUUGUCACCGUCUGUUGGUCAAGGACGGUCUCAAGGCCAACCCAGAUUCAAGGGAGUGGAGAGAUAGCCUCUGCAUCUUGAUGGAAAGGGUGGCAACAUCAUACUGCAAAAAUGCAUGUGGAUACAGGAAAGUGUGACUCAUUGGGGAGCAUUAUUAUAAUGUUUUUCCAUAGCUGACAUUUCCCACAGGAUAACGUUCUGCUUGCCAGCCUUCCUGUUAUGCCCACAGCUUCCUUUAAAUAGGGGUGCUUGGGUGGCUCAGUCGGUUAAGUGUCCAACUCUUGAUUUCAGCUCAGGUUAUGAUCUCACGGUUGGUGAGAUUGAGCCCUGUGUCAUGCUCUGCGCUGACUGCAGGGAGCCUGCUUGGGAUUCUCUCUCCCUGUCUCUCUGCCCUUCUCCCACGCUUGCUCUCUCCCUCUCUAAACAAACAAACAAACAAACAAACAAACAAACUUUAGAAAUAAAUAAACAAACAAAUGGAACAGUUCAUAUGGUUUCAUACUUUGUACUGUGUAACUCCACCACCUGGCUGUAAGAAGUUGGACUGGAAAUUAGUGCUUAUAUUAGUUAGGAUUAGAACCACAUUCCACUGAGACAAAAUCCCACAUGGCUGGGUUUAAACAAGAUAGAAGUUUAUUUCUGGCACUUGUCAAAGUCCAGAGGUAGGUUCUUCAGGAUUGGUAUUGGCCUCUUCUAUCUGUUGUUCCAUUGAGCAACAGUAGCUCCCAUUUUUAAGGUUGCCUCAUGAUCCAAUAUGGCUGCCAAAGCUCAAUUAUCACAACCAAUUCCACCCAACAGGAAGGGAGAGGGGGAGGAAAAAUAGAACCCACUCUAUUUAAGGAUAUUUUCUGGAAGUUACACAUCCAACUUCCUCUUAUAUCCCAUUGGCCUGCACUUAGUCACAUAGCCAUACUUAUCAACACAGGAGAUUGGGAAAUGUACUGGUGGCCAUGUGACUGGCCAAAAAUCCGGAGUUCUAUUACUACAAAAUAAGGAGAGAGUAGAUACUGAUGGGUGAUCAGCAGUCUCUAUCACAGGGCCUGACCUAAAGGCAUGUAAUGUGGCCUGGUAUGAGAUAUAUGCCCAACAGAGAUGUAUGAUUUAUUAACUCAUUCCUUCUGCAAACAUAGUAUACAUUGUGUCCUUUCUACAAGCCAAGCACUGUUCUAGCUACUAAAAAUAGGGUAGUAAACAAAGCAAAGUCCCUGCCUUCCUUUAGUUAAUAAACUCUAGUUGGGAAAGAUAGGCAAUAAACAGUAUAUUGUAAAAUACUGAUUUUGUGCUAUGAAUAAUUGGUAUGGGCAAGGGGAUAUAUAGUUAAGGCAUGUGGGUAGGAAGGGAUAUUUAUUUUAGGUAGGUGACAUGUGAGCAGGGACACGAAUGAGGUGAGGAACAGCCACGAAGUUCUAGGGGAAAAGGCACAGGCCAAGAGAACCGAGACUUCAAAGGUCUUAUAAAGCAGGAGCACGUUUGGAAUGUUUGAAGUAGGAACUAGAAAAGGAGCUGGGGGAGUGCUAGGAGAUGGGGAUGUGGAGAUAGCCGGAGAUUAGACUAUAAUAAGGACUGGGUAGUGGAGUGUAAGAUAUGCUUUCUUUAGGAGUCUGAAAGCAAAGUUGUGUCAGGGGUUCACGAGGUCACCCCCAGGUUCAAUAAUUUGCUAGGAGGAUUCACAGUGCUCAGCGUACAGUCAGACUUAAUGGCUAAAAUAGUAACAGGAUGCAGAGCAAAAUGAGCAAAGGGAAAAAGUGCAUGAGGCAAAGUGUGGAGGAAAUCAAGUACAAGCUUCCAAGAAUCUUCAGUGGAGUCACACAAGAGGAACUUAUUUCCUCCAGUGACAAACUGUGACAACAGGUAUGAAAUGCUCUCUACCAGGGAAGCUUAUUACAGACUCAGCACCCAAGGUUUUUUUGAGGAUUGGUUACAUGGGUGUCCUUUUCCUGGUCCAUGCCAAAUUCCUGACUGCCAGAAGGAAAGUAUGUAUUUAGCAUAAGCCAUUGCUGUUUGCACAAACAGUUGAGGCAGUUGAGCUACUCUUACCAUUUAGCAAAUGGUCAGAACCCUCCUGAAACCUAAGUUCUCAGAUGCUAAUCGAGGGCCAGCCUUGCAAGCAGGUCUUUCUAAGAACAGCAGUCCUGGGGCCUUUUAUUAACUGUUUUCUGCACAAAAGCACACAGAGAGAUGCUCCAAGCAAAGUGAAACAGGAACCAGAAAACUAAGCAGAGACUAAGCCAACUCCAUGAGCUAAUAGAGGCAAUGAGUAAAUAAAAUUCAUGAGAUAAAUAAACUAGCCAGAGGGCAGUAAUAACAGCAGGAGGAAGAAACAGAGAAGAAAGAAGCUGAAUCAAGUGAAUGGAAGGGUGUCUUGUGCAAGAGGAAUGCCCAUCUACAUGACAACAACCCCAGUAUUGCUUUUGGGACAUUAGAAUUGCUCUGUGAUCCUAGGGACUGAUGAACAAUGCUCUGCUUCUUCCUGAGGCCUGAUUGUUCCAUUAAAAUGGCUUCAUUUUCUUGCCUCCUAAUUUCUUUUUGUACCUUUGUAAUAAAUUCCAAUCAUCCAGGAUCAGAAACAUGCCUUGUGCUGUGCUCCUUGAAACCUGAAAGCACCUCACUAAUAUACCUGGGUUUUCAGCCAUUCAAAACAUAGACUUAAAGAAGAAAACUAAUAUGGUGGCCAAGGGGUCACUGGCCAACUGGGUGAAGGACCAAGAUUCACAGCAGAGAGUGAAACUCCCCACCUACCGCCGUGAUGCCAUGUUCCAGUCAUAUCAAACUACGCACAACUAUACUCACAUGCAAAGUGGACUUUUAUUCCUUUUUGAUUUUGAUCAUGUUUUUCACUCUGUUUAGAAUUUCAGGGGUUUUCAUCCUUACACAUACCUAGCUCAAAUGCUGUUUGCAUUAUCUAUGAAGCCUCUAUGACCACCUCUCUCCCCACACUCUUCUCUGGCCUCUCUGGAGUGAUUCUUUCCCUCUGCACUGCUGUCUCAGCUAUUGGUACAUAUUUCUGUAGUAACAAUUACAAAGCAUAUUGUAAUCAACUAUUUAGGCAUUUUCUCUGAAACAAAUUAUGUUCCUAGCACAAUGCUUGAUAAAUGGUAAUUUUUAAAAAAAAUUUUUAACAUUUAUUUAUUUUUGAGAGAGAGAGAGAGAGACAGAUCACGAGUGGGCAAGGGGCAGAGAGAGAGGGAGACAGAGUAUAUGAAGCAGGCUCCAGGCUCUGAGCUGUCAGCACAGUCCGAUGAGGGGCUCAAACUCAUGAACCACAAGAUCAUGAUGAAGUAAGAUGCUUAACUGACCAAGCCACCCAGGCACCCUGGUAAUUUUUUAAUAAACGUAUAUUUGGUGAACGAAUGAAUGAACAAAUGAACAAACGAACCAAGAAACAAAUACAACGAGUCACGUAUUGAACAGUUCUGACGCCAGGAUUUAAGGCCAGAUCUCCUUGACCAUUACAGCCCAUUCUUAAUUCCCAUGCUUAAAACAAUAAUCUCUCUCAUCUAUUGGGGAACUCUUUCUUUUCUAAAAUUGCAUUGCUUUUAUGUUAUUUUCUUGAAGAUAUUAUUACUUUACAGAUGUUCAAUAGCCAUAUUAGCAUUGGUUCUAAUGAUUUGCCUGGUGAAAAUAAACUUCUUUUUUAUUUUCUAAAUAUGGGAGGACUUAAAUAUGCCCUAUCCAAAAAAGUAUAUGCUAAGUACACUCAAUUUUGUAGUCUCCAAGUAUGUUUAUACAAAUAAGUAAACACAGAAUUGCUCUCCUGCUAUGAAAGUACUUCCUAUCACUAGUGCCUCAUGUAUCUAUGCAUAUUUUUAAUUAAUUUUCCAAAAGGGAAUAAUUUCAAGUAGUAUUGUUUUCACAAUCCACUACUUCUGGUACUAAAAGUGAAUUAAUUGCCUAAGAGAUUUUACAUACAACCAGUUCUAAAAAGCAUAGUCAUGAUCGCAGCAAACAUUAAAUAGAGUCUAAGUUUGUUACUCUUUCUGCAAGAUCUCUUUUGAUUAGUGGCCUUUUAAAAUCUGAUAGAUAGUCCACAGCUUUCCUUUACUUCCUUGAGAGCUAUUAGAAUUAAGACUUUUUUUUUUUAAUGCUUUGAUGACAUACUGUAGUUGGCUGUCGUUAACACGCAAGAGGUUUCAAGAACUAAAUGAAAUAUAUUCCCAGAAAUCGAGGACACGUUUUUUGUUUUUUGGUUUUUUUAAAACAGCAUCAUCUGAAAUUGAAGCUAAUUAGAAUUAAUUUCAAACCUGUAAGAUUAGCCAUAGAAAAGAGGGUUUACAAAUACAUGUGGAUGAAGUUGGGGUGUUGCCCAAUUCUUAUAUGUGUGGAGGGGAGGAUAUUGCUGUGGGCUUGGAGAAAAAAAAAAUUCUAUUUUGGGGGCAAUUUCUUUGGUUCAGGCACUUAACAUAUGCUGUCACUUAAUCAUUGCAACACUUGUCUAAAGUAGGACUCUUAUCCACAUCCCACAGAUGGGAAAAUGAAGAUAGGAGGGAGGCUUCAGGCUCCACCCCUACUGCAGAGCAGAACUGAAAUUUCAACCAAGUUUCUCUGAAUCCAAACUUUGUGUCUCCACCACCCUAAAUACAUGGCCGGGUUAUCACACCACAGGAUACAAACUGCUUUAUAUAAAUAGGACCUAUUCUGGAUAUCAUCCCCAAAAUGGAGUGAUCUGCUUAGAGACUGAAUUUUAAAAACAAAAUUAGAAUUGAAGAAGGGUCAGCAAAUGAUGGCCCCAAACUUACUGGAAAGGUGCCAACCACGUGUGUUUGCCAUUGUUGCCGAUGACUGCUUCUGGCCACGAGGACAGAGUUGAGUAGUUGUGACAGAAAUCACAUGGUCCUUAGAGCCCAAAAUGUUUACAGUCUGACCUGUUACAGAAAAACUGUGCCAACCUCUGGAAUAGAAUCAGUAUCCAAUGCUGUCCCAGGGAGAUAGGAUCACUGUCAGGCAGACACUGGAGAGCUGAACAGAGUUGCUGCAGGAUCUGCCCACUCUGCCUUCUCCUAGAGGAAGUAUUUUAUAAAAGGAGUCCAAUUCCUUUUGCCUUAACCUCUUGGCCACCAAGGAAUCUCAUUACAAAUGCCAUUCUCUAAGUUCUGUGGUAACCGAAAACAUGUGUGAAGAAAACCACAAAUAAUAUAAUUGCUAUGAAAGCACAAACUAACUAUAAAUUCGAACAGAAAUAGAAAACCUAUACAUAUGAAGACCUUUUUCGAUUGGUACAGGUUGUUCAUCCCUGAACCAAUUAAACAUUAGUAAGGGAGGGGCGCCUGGGUGGCUCAGUCAGUUGAGCGUCAGACUCUCGGUUUUGGCUCAGGUCCUGAUCUCACCGUUUUGUGACUUCGAGCCCUGCGUCGGGCUCUGCACUGGCAGUGUGGAGCCUGGUUGGGAUUCUCUCUCUCCCUCUCUCUCUCUCUGCCCCUCUCCCACUUGCACUGUCUCUGUCUCUCUCAAAAUAAAUGAACUUUAAAAAACAAACAAACAAACAUCAGUAAGGGAGAUGGGAUUCUGUUACUGGCCUAAAUUAACCUUGGCCAGUCACUGGCAACUCAACAAUACAAUGAAAGAUGGAGUUGAAUGGAUGUUGUCAGGUCAGUCACUAUAUUCACCAAAAUGAAUGUGAUUUUCUGAUAAAGGGUCUGCUAAGACACAGUAUGAAAAAAUACAGUCCUGGUUAAACAAUACAACUUGUCAUUAUUUUCCCAUUUGACACUUAAAGAUUCAACUGAUCAUAAGUGGCCAGAUAUGUUCAUCACACAGUAAUUGUUUAAAAUUUCUAAAAGGUAAUUCUGGAAAUUUUUGAAAUUUCCAAAUUGUGAAAAUUAAAAAUUUUCUAUUUCUUGGCUUUCUUCUCAUGCCAUUGACGGGCCUAUCAUUUCCUAUGCAUAAACUCAACACCCUGCAAAUUAUUUACCUUUAUUUACCUUUUAAAUAAAUUAAUUUUUUCUUUAUUUCUUCAUUUACCUUUUAAAUAAAAAAAUAAUACAAUUUAUUUUUGAGAAGAAUAUGCAUUCACAUGAUUAAUAAUUCUUUUUUUUUUAAUGUCCAUCCAUUUCCUUAGAGAGAGAGAGACAGAGCGCCAGCAGGGGAGGGACAGAGAGAGACACACACACACAGAAUCGGAAGCAGCCUCCAUGCUCUGAGCUGUCAGCACAGAACCCCAUGCAGGGCUUGAACCCAUGAACCAGAAGAUGGUAACCUGAGCUGAAAUCAGACACUUAAAUGACGGGGCCACCCAGGUGCCCCAAAUAAUCCCAAAGGUACUUAAGUGUGUCUCAGGAGUUUUCCCUUUCCUAUCUCUCUACUCUAUUCUCCUGUUCCCUCUACCACCAAAGUUACCACUUUCUUGUAGAUCAUCUCAUAGUCUCUGCCUUUAUAAGCAAAUAUGUAAACAUAUUCUUUCCCUCUGUCCCUAUUUUACAAUAUCUGUGCCUUGGGUUUUUUUUUUUUUUUUUUAAAUCUUUGUUCAUACAUCUUAGUGAUCUUUCCAUAAUGGUAUACAACUUGCUCAUUUUUUUAUAGGUCUUCAUGAUAUUCCAUUGAUGGGUAUAUUAUAAUUUAUUUGAUUAAGCCAGUGGACAUUUGAAUGAUUUCCAAUCUUUUGAUAUUACAAACAAUGCUGCAGUAUAUAAGCUGGGACAUAGGUCAUUCUGACAUAUUUGGGGGCAUAUCUGUAGAAUAAAUAACUGCCUUUUCAUUUUUCACCCAAAA